rnacentral:rRNA from 1 species
GGUUGGCUCAGAAGCAGCCAUCCUUUAAAGAGUGCGUAACAGCUCACUAGUCGAAUGACUCUGCGCCGAUAAUUUACCGGGGCUAAGCAUACUACCGAAGCUAUGGAUCCCAAGGGAUGGUAGGGGAGCGUUCCAUGAACGGAGAAGUACGACCGAAAGGACGUGUGGAGAUCAUGGAAGAGAGAAUGCCGGUGUGAGUAGCGGAACGUGGGUGAGAAUCCCACGCACCGAAAACCCAAGGUUUCCAGAGGAAGGUUCGUCCGCUCUGGGUAAGUCGGGACCUAAGGCGAGGCCGAAAGGCGUAGUCGAUGGACAACAGGUAGAGAUUCCUGUACCCGUAUAUAUGUGAAGGAAUGACGGAGAGAGGAAGCUGCAGCCAGCGGCUGGAAGAGCUGGUGCAAGCGAGAUAUCGGGAUGGCAGGCAAAUCCACCAUCCGAAACGAGAAGGCGUGAAGCGUACGGAAAGCUACGGCGAGUACGGAAGGCAGUGGAGGAACUUCCAAGAAAAGUUUCUAACGUAAAGUAUAUAUGGCCCGUACCGAAAAUGGACACACAUGGGUGAGGAGAGAAUCCUAAGGUGAGCGAGAGAACUAUAGCUAAGGAACUCUGCAAAAUGACUCCGUAACUUAGGGAGAAGGAGUGCUCAUAGAGAUAUGAGCCGCAGUGAAACGGCCCAAGCGACUGUUUACCAAAAACACAGCUCUCUGCUAAGCCGCAAGGCGAAGUAUAGGGGGUGACGCCUGCCCGGUGCUGGAAGGUUAAGGGGAGGGGUUAACGCAAGUGAAGCCCUGAACUGAAGCCCCAGUAAACGGCGGCCGUAACUAUAACGGUCCUAAGGUAGCGAAAUUCCUUGUCAGGUAAGUUCUGACCCGCACGAAAGGCGUAACGAUUUGGGCGCUGUCUCAGCUGUAGACUCGGUGAAGUCUUAGUACCUGUGAAGAUGCAGGUUACCCGCGACUAGACGGAAAGACCCCAUGGAGCUUCACUGCAGGUUGAUAUUGGGAUUUGAUGCAGCAUGUACAGGAUAGGUAGGAGGCAAAGAGAUGGAUACGCCAGUAUUCAAGGAGCCGCUGUUGGGAUACUACCCCUGUUGUAUUGGAUUUCUAACCGGACGACGUAGAGCCGUUGACGGGACAGUGUCAGUCGGGCAGUUUGACUGGGGCGGUCGCCUCCCAAAGAGUAACGGAGGCGCCCAAAGAUACCCUCAGCUUGGAUGGAAACCAAGCGCAGAGUGCAAAGGCAAAAGGGUGUUUGACUGCGAGACCCACAAGUCGAGCAGGGACGAAAGUCGGGCUUAGUGAUCCGGCGGUGCUGAAUGGAAAGGCCGUCGCUCAACGGAUAAAAGCUACCCUGGGGAUAACAGGCUGAUCUCCCCCAAGAGUCCACAUCGACGGGGAGGUUUGGCACCUCGAUGUCGGCUCAUCGCAUCCUGGAGCUGAAGUCGGUUCCAAGGGUUGGGCUGUUCGCCCAUUAAAGCGGUACGCGAGCUGGGUUCAGAACGUCGUGAGACAGUUCGGUCCCUAUCUGUCGUGGGCGCAGGAAAUUUGAGAAGAGCUGUCCUCAGUACGAGAGGACCGGGAUGGACGCAUCAAUGGUGGACCAGUUGUCACGCCAGUGGCAUAGCUGGGUAGCUAAAUGCGGAAGGGAUAAACGCUGAAGGCAUCUAAGUGUGAAACCCACUUCAAGAUGAGAUUUCCCAUUGC